rnacentral:rRNA from 1 species
UACGUAGGGGGCAAGCGUUGUCCGGAUUUAUUGGGCGUAAAGAGCGUGUAGGCGGUCAGGUAGGUCCGUUGUGAAAACUCGAGGCUCAACCUCGAGACGCCGAUGGAAACCAUCUGACUAGAGUCCGGAAGAGGAGAGUGGAAUUCCUGGUGUAGCGGUGAAAUGCGCAGAUAUCGGGAGGAACACCAGUGGCGAAGGCGACUUCCUGGCCUGUUCUUGACGCUGAGGCGCGAAAGCUAGGGGAGCAAACGGG